rnacentral:rRNA from 1 species
UACAGAGGUGCCGAGCGUUAGGCGGAAUCACUGGGCUUAAAGCGUGUGUAGGCGGAUUUUUAAGUACCUUGUGAAAUCCCAUGGCUUAACCAUGGAACUGCUGGGUAUACUGGAUAUCUUGAGCCAACUAGGGGCUACCGGAACAAAUGGUGGAGCGGUGAAAUGCGUAGAUAUCAUUUGGAACGCCAAUGGUGAAAACAGGUAGCUGGGGUUGAGCUGACGCUGAGACACGAAAGCCAGGGGAGCGAACGGG